rnacentral:sRNA from 1 species
UUUUCGAUAUGACCGCUCUCGUGCUUCGGGCUGGUCCAUAGAACGCCUCAAUACUGGACCGAUGCAUUCGCGACGCUUGGAACCAAGGCUGCAGCAAGAGAACUCCAAGCCUAC